AGCGCGUUAGUAAUGGCAAAGUCGUAAAUAUUGCAAAAAUUAUUUAUCAUCCCGACUUCCAGAAACAUUCCCUUUUCUCUCUCCUCGUGCUACACUCUCCUCAGGAACUCCUUAUUUACUCUCCUCCAUUUUUGCUCUCCUUCGUGAUUCUCUCUCCUCAGCGCUACCGCUCCUCACCUGCUGCAACCACUGCAUCGCCACCAUCUCCACACUUCCAUCAUCUAUGCGUCGUCUCUUCUGCUUCAAUUUGUGAAUGAUUUUUUGUUGAUUUCUGUAAAUUGUAGGGUUAGGCAAUUGUUGAGUGAUUCCUAAUGCUCUUUGUAAUUUUUAGCUUCGAUUUUGAUGUUUACAUGCGAAAAUUACUGCAACAAUCAAUUAUUCACUUGUUAUAUGUGAUUAGGGAGGAUUUGAAGAAAUUGUGAAAUGGUUUUCGCAAAAUCCACCGCUCCGCCACCACUCCACCACCACCCCGCCGACCUCCACCACUUCGACUACUGCCACUCUGCCGACCGCCACCAUAUAUGCGCCCUCUUCUUUGGAUAUUUUCUGUGACUGCAUUAUGCUUCUGGAUGAGAUUUUUUCUCCAAGUGUGAUGCGGCGACUCAAAGUGUCACUAUUCGUGAAUAUGAGAAACCUUGUAAAGCUCUACUUCAACUGAUAAAAUUUGUGCUCAAUAGUGCAGCCGUCUUGGACAAAUUAGUUAUUGUCUGCAACAAGAAGGAUGAAAUUUAUUCAGCAGAGGAAAACGAGUUCCUUUCACAGCUAGCAGGCUUUCCAAGAACCUCACGGAAGGCAAAGGUUGUAUUUAGUAACUCAUAGCAAGGUGCGUAGGUGCAGUGUGGGUGUUUAUAAUUACUCCGUAGACGAUAUCUUUUGUUUAGGAGAUAGGACCCCUGUUGCAAAAUUCAGUGUUGCUGCUACUGGUAGCAGCCUAGUGUUAAAAUCAAAAAUUACUAGGAAAAUGGUUCUGUUGUAGUGAUUCUGGUUCUUCAAUUUGUAGUCAGAUGUGGCAUCAGGUGCUGCUCUUUGAUAUUAUAGCAACUUGUUUGGUGAGUAGUAAAAGUAAUGAGUUUUACGUAA